rnacentral:rRNA from 1 species
GACGAACGCUGGCGGCGUGCCUAAUACAUGCAAGUAGAACGCUGAAGCGAGGAGCUUGCUCUUCUUGGAUGAGUUGCGAACGGGUGAGUAACGCGUAGGUAACCUGCCUUGUAGCGGGGGAUAACUAUUGGAAACGAUAGCUAAUACCGCAUAACCAUGGAUGACACAUGUCAUUUAUUUGAAAGGGGCAAUUGCUCCACUACAAGAUGGACCUGCGUUGUAUUAGCUAGUAGGUGAGGUAAUGGCUCACCUAGGCGACGAUACAUAGCCGACCUGAGAGGAUGAGCGGCCACACUGGGACUGAGACACGGCCCAGACGCCUACGGGAGGCAGCAGUAGGGAAUCGGCGGCAAUGGGGGCAACCCUGACCGAGCAACGCCGCGUGAGUGAAGAAGGAUGUCGGAUCGUAAAGCUCUGUUGUAAGUCAAGAACGGGUGUGAGAGUGGAAAGUUCACACUGUGACGGUAGCUUAUCAGAAAGGGACGGCUAACUACGUG